rnacentral:rRNA from 1 species
UACGAAGGGGCUAGCGUUGUUCGGAAUUACUGGGCGUAAAGCGCACGUAGGCGGACAUUUAAGUCAGGGGUGAAAUCCCGGGGCUCAACCCCGGAACUGCCUUUGAUACUGGGUGUCUUGAGUCCGGAAGAGGUGAGUGGAAUUGCGAGUGUAGAGGUGAAAUUCGUAGAUAUUCGCAGGAACACCAGUGGCGAAGGCGGCUCACUGGUCCGGUACUGACGCUGAGGUGCGAAAGCGUGGGAGCAAACAGG